rnacentral:rRNA from 1 species
GAGCGGCGGACGGGUGAGUAAUGCCUAGGAAUCUGCCUGGUAGUGGGGGAUAACGUUCGGAAACGGACGCUAAUACCGCAUACGUCCUACGGGAGAAAGCAGGGGACCUUCGGGCCUUGCGCUAUCAGAUGAGCCUAGGUCGGAUUAGCUAGUUGGUGGGGUAAUGGCUCACCAAGGCGACGAUCCGUAACUGGUCUGAGAGGAUGAUCAGUCACACUGGAACUGAGACACGGUCCAGACUCCUACGGGAGGCAGCAGUGGGGAAUAUUGGACAAUGGGCGAAAGCCUGAUCCAGCCAUGCCGCGUGUGUGAAGAAGGUCUUCGGAUUGUAAAGCACUUUAAGUUGGGAGGAAGGGCAGUAAAUUAAUACUUUGCUGUUUUGACGUUACCGACAGAAUAAGCACCGGCUAACUCUGUGCCAGCAGCCGCGGUAAUACAGAGGGUGCAAGCGUUAAUCGGAAUUACUGGGCGUAAAGCGCGCGUAGGUGGUUCGUUAAGUUGGAUGUGAAAUCCCCGGGCUCAACCUGGGAACUGCAUUCAAAACUGACGAGCUAGAGUAUUGGUAGAGGGUUGUAAGAAUUUCCAGGUUUUACCGGUUGAA